rnacentral:lncRNA from 1 species
GUUGUAAAAAGGAUGUAGUUUGAAAAAAUAGUAAGUAAAAAUAUUAUAAUUGAAUUAAAAGUUCAUGGAUUAACAAAAGUAGGAUAGAAUUUUAUUUAAUGAUUUUACAUUUUAAAAUGUUGAAAAAUUAAUUUUAAAUAAAUUAAUUUUAUAAUCUAACUAAUAUAUAUUUUUUGUCCCAAAAUUUAAAAAGAAUUAAUUAAAACCAUUUGUGUUUUAAGCCCCAUACCCAGAGUCCCAGUGAAGUUGAUCUCCUGUACUCCAAUCAAUUAUUUAUUACUCACACCAGCAACUUCAUUCAAGCGAUAAAACACCGCGUAAUUCGAAAUAUAAAAGAGGGUGCUACAUAUGAUAUGAGCGCAUGCAUGCAAGUUAUCCCCUGUUCACAUUCCUACAUGCAUACUCUUCUUGUUAUCUUCCAUGACAAGAUGAUGAAUCCAAUUGAUGAGACGAUCAUAUGAAAUAUGAUGUUGAAUGUGCUCAUAUCAUCAGAAAAUUGUCCCCGUGUAUAAUGCAUAAACUUAUCAUUAGAAGCAUGAGCUUAUUGAAUGUAUGGAAUAAAAGGAUAAUGCAUAAACUUAUCAUUAAUAGAGAUAAUCAGUUCCGUGACUUAGUCUUUCUCAUCAGUUUGUAUUAUUCAAAUAUAUUCAAAUGUAUUUAGCUGCCAUUAGUAGAUAUAGGAUUCAGUUGUAACCUUUCUAGUUUGUAGGAUCUUCUAUCACUCUUGGUUUUGUAUUUAUACGGUUGUUUAUUCAAUGAGAAUCAAUUCAGUUUUGCACUCUGUUAUGGUAUCAGAGCAUAAUCAGAGGUAACAUAUUCCAUUCUUCUCCCCAAUCUCUCUUCUCUUUAAUCACAAACCAUGGCUAUCCCUUCCCCCUCCAUUCUCAACACAAAUGACCCCCACAACACCCUUAUCAACAUUAAUGUUGCUACCCAAACCCCUCUAAAACUCACCUCCACCAACUACCUCUCAUGGAAAUUACAAUUCCAUACUCUCUUCGUUGGAUAUGACCUCUUAGGAUAUAUAGAUGGCUCCAAGCCAUGUCCCUCAGCCACUCUCACACUAAAUGAUACAACCAGAUCCAACCCUGCUCACAUCCUGUAGAUUCGACAGGACCAAUUGAUCUUGAAUGCAAUCAUUGGUUCCAUCUCCCACACCAUCAUUCCAUUUCUUGCACAAGCCAAGACAGCCCGUGAAGCAUGGACUAUCCUAGCCACCACCUACGCCAAGCCUUCUCGUGGCCACAUCAAAAAGGUCAAAAACCAACUAAAAAUGAUCACCAAAGGCUCUGACAGUGUCACAACAUUUCUGCAAACCAUCAAGGCAAAAGCCGAUGAGCUUGCCAUUCUUGGGGCACCACUAGAUGCAAAAGAUCUCACUAACAAGAUACUUGACGGUCUUGGUGAUGAAUACAAAGAACUCACACGUGCUGUCCAAGCCAAAGACAUGCCUAUAACCUUUGAGGAACUACAUGAGAAGUUGGUCAAUUUUGAAGCCUCAGUGAUCACCUCAAAACCAGGCCUCCUUCAAUUUCCUAUCACUGCUAAUCCCACGAGCAGGAACCCAGCACCUUGGCGCUCCCCUGCCCCAUCGGGCACCAACACUCAAACACAACGCCCCUUCAACAGCCCCCAAAACAAGUAUACUCCUACCCAAACCAGUGGCCAACCCACACCUCAAGGUAAUCGCCCAUCUCGGCCAUACUUAGGUUAUUGCCAAAUUUGCAAGAUACAAGGACAUACAGCAAAAAGGUGCCCCUCCUUUCGGCUAGUCCCAGUCAACACAUCUAACAGCUCUUCUCCAGCUUCAACCACUCACUUUGCCACCCCAUGGCAACCAAGGGCCCAUUAUGUAAGAGAGAUUGUAACAUCUUUCAAGUUUGUUUGGUUUGAUAUUCUGGACGAAAACGGGUUGCCGUUUAUUGAGAAAACGGCUAACCGUUUAAGUCCAGAGAGCAUGUUUUUUGUUCUAGAAUAAACGGCUCACCGUUUAUGGUGAAAACGGCUUACCGUUUAAGUCCAGAGAGCAUGUUUUAUGUCCUAAAAUAAACGGCUCACCGUUUAUUGAGAAAACGGCUAACCGUUUAUUUCCAGAAAGUUGUCAAUUGGAAAACGGUUAGCAAGAUUGAAAAGAUUUCAAUUGUAAAUCGAUGCAUUUUCAAACCAAAAGAGUUUUUUCGAAGAAGUACCAUUUCUAAUGGUUGUAUUCUUUCAAAAAAACAUCUUAUUCAUAAAAAGAAAGACAUACAAUAAGAUUAGAAAUCAGAUUUUGAAGAUUUCAUGCUUGUUCUGGAAAUACAAUCUUAUUUGCUAAAGAUUGUAUUCAGGAUUUGAUAUAUCUUGGGGGUAAUUUGCCAUUAAAACUCUAUAGCAAACCAAGAUUGGUGAGGGCAAAUAAAACCUUAAAGGAAAGUGUGUAAACACGUCUCAAAUCCUAAGAAAUUUCAUUGUUCUUUGCCUCCAUAUUCUCAUAAUUCACCAACAAUCUUUAAGGUUUUAUUUUAGCCACACAUCUUGGCUCCUGGACAGUGGAGCGUCUCACUAUGUUACAGCUGACCUACACAAUCUCUCCAUGCAUGCUUCACUCGUUGGAAGGGAAAAUUGUUCUUUCUCCUUACUGUUCUUAAAGUGGCAUAUGUUCUUGAUCCGAAAUUGGAACCAUUUCCAGAACUUUUAAAUUGAACAAUGUCCUCUGUGUUCCUGAUAUGAAAAAGAUUCUCAUUUCCAUCUCUCAAUUCUGCACCUCAAAUAAUGUCUCCAUCUAAUUCUUACCAACUGCUUUUCUUGUAAAGGACAUUCGCACGGGGGCAAUACUAAAGAACAAUGUCCUAUGUGUUCCUGCUAUGAAAAAGAUUCUCAUUUCCAUCUCUCAAUUCUGCACCUCAAAUAAUGUCUCCAUUGAAUUCUUACCAACUGCUUUUCUUGUAAAGGACAUUCGCACGGGGGCAACACUAAAGAUGGCGUUUAUGAGUGGCCAGUAUCUCCACACUUGCUUGCUUUUUCCAGCAUCAAAACAACUAUAUCCGAGUGGCAUCAAAGAUUAGGACACCCAGCUUUCCAUAUUCUGAAACAGAUUGUUUCCAAAAAUAAACUUGAUUUUUCUUCUUCAUUUUCCAAUAAUUUUUCAUGUAAUGCUUGUUUGAGUAAUAAAAGCCACAAAUUGUCAUUCUCCCAGUCCACCAUUAUAUCUUCUCAACCCCUUGAAACUAUCUUCUCUGAUGUUUGGACAUCUCCAAUUAUAUCAAAUAAUGGAUUUAAAUAUUAUGUCAUUUUUGUGGAUCAUUUCACCCGAUAUAUUUGGUUCUACCCUCUUAAACAAAAGUCAGAAGUCAAAGAUAUUUUUAUUAGAUUUAAAGCCAUUGUUGAAAAACACUUUCAUAAACCCAUCAAAACACUUUAUUCCGACAAUGGUGGUGAAUACAUUGCCCUUGCCAAUUUUCUUUCAACAAAUGGUAUCUCUCAUCUCACUACACCACCUCAUACCCCUGAACACAAUGGAUUUUCUGAACGUAGACAUCUUUAUAUUGUAGAAACUGGUCUAGCAUUACUCUCUCAUGCAUCUCUUCCUUUAAGUUAUUGGACUUAUGCAUUAGCCACAACAGUUUAUCUCAUAAAUCGUAUGCCAACACCCACCUUGAACCUUUCUUCUCCUUAUGAAAAAAUUUUUACAACAGCUCCUAAUUACUCAAAACUCAAAAUCUUUGGCUGUUUAUGCUAUCCGUGGCUGAGACCAUACACUACCAACAAACUGGACACCCGAUCUAAACCAUGUGUCUUCCUUGGCUAUUCUUUAACUUAGAGUGCUUAUUACUGCCUUGAUCCAUCCACUUCCAAAAUAUAUAUCUCUAGGCAUGUCAGAUUUGUUAAAACUGUCUUUCCCUUCACUAAUCUCUCUGCUCCUGCCUCUUGUUCUCCAUUACAUUCCAUUGCUACUUGGAUUCCAUCACCACUUCGAGUUCCCAUCUUGCCUGUGAUACCACCACUCAAUUCGUCAUCUGCAGUUGAUGCCCAACAGCAAUCCCCACGUGAAGCUUCACUACCACUAGACCUGCCCGCUACAUUUACUCAACUAGCAUCACGUGACCUCUCACGUCCAUUAGACCAGGCCGCCACAUUUUCUCCACCACAAACACGUGAACCUUCAAAUGCCAGUAAUUCUCCACAACAAGCACCACUUAUAAGCCCACCCGAGCCUCAGCCACAACCCACCCACACCAUGACUACUAGAGCCAAAAACAAUAUUCGCAAACCUAUCACCAAAAUGAAUCUUCACACUCAAUUAACCAAAGGUGAUGAUCAUGAACCAACAACCUUAACCCAAGCCCUCAAAGAUCAUAAAUGGCGUCGGGCCAUGUCUGAAGAAUAUGAUGCAUUAGUGAGGAAUGGCACCUGGGCUCUCGUUCCACAAGAUAGCAGUCAAAAUCUGGUUGGCUGUAAGUGGGUGUUUAGAACUAAACGAAAAUCUGAUAGCUCUGUUGACAGGUUCAAGGCCUGAUUAGUUGCCAAAGGAUUCCACCAACGUCCUGGAAUAGACUACCAAGACACGUUCAGUCCCAUUAUAAAACCGACUACUGUCCGAAUAGUUCUAAGUAUAGCAGUCAGCCGUGGCUGGUCUUUAAGGCAACUUGAUGUAAACAAUGCCUUUCUUCAAGGACAUCUAUCAGAGAAUGUAUACAUGUCACAACCACCGGGAUUUGUUGAUAAAGACAACCCCUCUUAUGUCUGCAAACUCAACAAAGCAAUUUAUGGCCUGAAACAAGCCCCUCGGGCGUGGUAUCAUGAACUCAAAACAUUCCUUCUCCAGUUUGGUUUUCAAAAUUCAUAUGCUGAUACAUCACUCUUUGUCUUUCUUGCUGAUGGCCACACCAUGUAUCUUCUUGUUUAUGUUGAUGAUUUAAUUCUCACAUGAGACAAUGAUAUCACGGUUAAUCGCUUCAUUUCCAUUUUUGCUCGGCGAUUUUCCAUCAAAGAUCUUGGUUUCCUCACUUACUUUCUGGGUGUGGAAGUUAUCCCAAACAAACAUGGCUUGUUACUCUCACAAAGGAGAUAUAUCAUGGAUCUUCUCACUCAAACCAAGAUGCAAGAAGCAAAGACUGUUCUCACUCCCAUACCAACAAGCCCCACUCUCACGCUCACCUCAGGUUCUUCUCUUUUUGAUCCCACUGAGUAUCGCCAGGUAGUGGGGAGCCUUCAAUAUUUGCUAAUAACAAGACCUAACAUUGCCUUUGCUGUCAACAAAUUGUCUCAAUAUAUGCACUGCCCCACAACUGAACAUUGGUCAUUUGUCAAACGACUACUACGUUAUCUUGUUGGUACUGUUGAUGAUGGUUUGCAACUUUACAAAGACUCUAAUCUCAGUUUACAUGCAUUCUCAGACACUUCUCUCAGUUUACAAGCCUUUUCUGACGCUGAUUGGGCAAGAGACAAAGAAAUUUUUGCUCCACCAAUGCUUAUGUUGUUUAUCUUGGUAAAAAUCCUAUCUCCUGGAGCUCUAAAAAGCAAUGGACAGUUGCUAGAUCCUCCACUGAGGCAGAGUAUCGCUCCGUUGCAAAUACAACUGCUGAACUUAAUUUCAUUUGUUAUCUCUUGACUGAUCUUGGUAUUUCGCUUCCCUACUGCCCUGUCAUUUACUGUGAUAAUAUAGGGGCAACUCAACUCUGUUCAAAUCCAAUUUUUCAUUCCUGCAUGAAGCAUGUUGCCAUAGAUUUUCAUUUUAUCAGGGAUCAAGUUCAAAAUGGAGCUCUUCGUGUAGCUCAUGUCUCUUCUGAAGAUCAUCUAGCAGAUGCUCUUACCAAGCCACUUUCACGCCAACGUUUUCUUAACCUUAAACACAAGAUUGGACUUCUCUCCCGAGCUCCAUCUUGAGGGGGCCUAAUAGAGAUAAUCAGUUCCGUGACUUAGUCUUUCUCAUCAGUUUGUAUUAUUCAAAUGUAUUUAGCUGUCAUUAGUAGAUAUAGGAUUCAGUUGUAACCUUCCUAGUUUGUAGGAUCUUCAAUCACUCUUGGUUUUGUAUUUAUACGGUUGCUUAUUCAAUGAGAAUCAAUUCAGUUUUGCACUCUGUUAAUCAUUACGAUCUGAAUGAUCAAGCACCAAUUUAAGUGUUUUGUGAAUUCCACCAUUAGGCCUCGUUUGGUUGAAGUACAAAAAGAUGGGAUUGGAUAAUUUCAUUCUAAAGUUAUCCUAAUGCAAUGUUUGGCACCCAAAAUUAAUUGUAGUACAAAAUUGGUGGAGUCCACCAUUUUAUCCAACACAGUGUCAAAAUCUUAAAACGAGGGGGGCUGUGGGAUAACCUCCUCGCACUUGGGUGAUGACUUUUGCUGGCACUCUUUGUUUUGUAAAUUCAUUUAGAUGAUGACUUUUUUUUUGGUAAUUUGGUAAUUUGGUAACUGGGACAUUUGGUAAUUUUUUUUUUUCGUUUAUGGACUGAUAUUCUUAUUAUAUUUGUUGAUAAUAUUCUUGUUAAAUUUAUAAUGA